rnacentral:rRNA from 1 species
GACAGAGGCCUCAAGCGUUAGGCGGAAUCACUGGGCUUAAAGCGUGUGUAGGCGGGUCGUUAAGUACCUUGUGAAAUCCCACGGCUCACCCGUGGAACGGCUGGGUAUACUGGCGAUCUUGGGCCAACUAGGGGCGACUGGAACAGGCGGUGGAGCGGUGAAAUGCGUAGAUAUCGCUUGGAACGCCGAAGGUGAAAACAGGUCGCUGGGGUUGUGCCGACGCUGAGACACGAAAGCCAGGGGAGCAAACGGG